GAUUUCUUGGAGGACUUCAUCAGGGUUAGGGUUAUUACUUUUGGGGGUAACUACGAGGUUACUGGUAAUGAUUGCUUUGUUCUCGGGUUGAAUUGGCAUUUUUUGUUAUUCAGCUUAAACUAGAGGUGCAGAAAUAUCGAUGUUAUCGAUGUUUGCCAAUCAUCGGAGCCACCAUCGAUAUUUUUUCACACAACUCUGGGCUUGGUGGCAGCAAACAAAUAAAUUUUAAGGUUUCUAGUCGUGGUGUUGAUUAAUGUGGAUGGAUGCAGGAUGGACAACUACCUGAAAAGAGUUGGAUCGUCAAAUUCUUUAGAGUUGGAGACAGUCGCUUAAGCAAUGAAAGGGGAGAAAUGCCUAAAACAAUGGCAACUUUUUUAAACAAGGAGUCGUUCUAUGGCAGUGACUCAGCGAUCAAAAAGAGACUUGAUCAGAAAGUCCUUAAUAUGAUUGUCAAAGACGUGCGCCCAUUCAGUUUCGUACUUGAUGAAGGUUUCGUGGAACUCAUGCAAAAGCAGACCCCCGCUAUAAAGUGCCAAGCCGAACUUAUUUUAGUGAUGUGAUGUUUCCCAGGGAAUAUGAUCAGCUACAGCAGAAGGUGCGUUCCGUAUUGGAUAAAGUAAAUUAUUGAUAUCUACAGCUCCUUUGAUAACUCCAACAAAUCACAACGCACAAAAUAUUGCGGACUCAAUAAAAUUGGUGUUGGCUCAGUGGCGUUUGUUAUCAAAGGUUGUUACAGUCACAACAGACAAUGACAGUAAGAUGAAGAAAGCGUGCGAGAUUUUGCAAUUUAAACAUUUGCCCUGCUUGGCACAUUGUAUAAACCUACCGGUGCAAGAUAUUUUGAAAAUGGAUGUUGUUAGUAAAAUUCUUUGUAAGUGUAAGGGAAUAGUAACCAAUAGUAACAAAGCACUAUAGCCGCUGCAAAGCUAAAAGAAGCACAUACGACUGAAAAGCCGCUAACAUUAAUACAGGAAGUAGCAACAAGAUGGAACAGCGCUUAUGAGAUGAUUAAAAGGUUGUUAAAACUGAACGAAUAUGUUACUUUAACUUUGAUUAAACUGCGAAAUGCACCGGCGCCGAUUACAGAAGAUGAACGCGAAGUUUUAAAUAAGCUAACCGAAAUGCUGCAACCUUUUUAUGAAGCCACGCUAUCGAUUUCAACCAGCAAAAAUGUUUCCGUAUAGCUGAUCAUUCCCGUUAUCACAGAGAUUCAUCAUAAAAUUAAUCACUUCAAUACAAGCACGAUUGAAGGGAAAAUAAUACUUGACUAUAUUGAGAAACGUUUAGUUGAUAGGUUAAACAACUUUGAAACCCGAACAGCAACUCUAAUUUACCCCCGCUUUAAAAAGGACGCCUUUCUUAAGUCAUCAAACGCAGAUCUGGCAGCCAAAGCGUUGGAGCAGAAAUUGAUGUUCGCAAUGUCCAUCCAUCCACGACGUCAACCAACACCACCACCAACCUCAGAAGAAGGACCACGGAAGUUCACAUUUUUAAAAAACAAAAAUAAUGAAAAAGUGCAGUCAGGUCGUGCCGAUGCGAUAAUAGCACUAAGACAACACAUCGAAAAAGAAAACCUUGGAGAAAAUGAAGACUCUCUGAAAUAUUGGGAGAUGAGUACUGAUGACUGCUCUUUAAAAUUUGUAGCAGCCAAAUACUGGAGUAUACAAGCCUCGUCAUGCGAAUCCGAAAGAGUGUUUAGCAAAGUUGGACAAAUAAUUAGUGAGAGGACUAUAUGUAUAUAUAUAUAUAUACAUAUAUGGGAGAGAGGGCAGGAAUAAGGUGGCAAGCGUACGAUCGGCACGCGACCGUCAAGAGAAGGAGAAGGAUAAGGAUAGCAGUAGUAGCAAGCAGCAAUGUAUGUACUAUAUAUUAGAAUGUAAGCAAGCCAGCAACGGCGCCACCAGUAUUUUACUAUUGGUGACAAUUAACAGCAAUAGCGAUUAUGUAUCGCAGUCUAACGAA